GACGGGGGGUCCUAGCGUUGUUCGGAAUUAUUGGGCGUAAAGCGUGUGCAGGUUGUCUGAAAAGUUAGAUGUGAAAUCCUUGGGCUCAAUCCAAGACGUGCAUUUAAAACUGUCAGACUUGAGUAUGGAAGAGGGUCGUGGAAUUCCAGGUGUAGUGGUGAAAUACGUAGAUAUCUGGAGGAACACCGGUGGCGAAGGCGGCGACCUGGUCCUUGACUGACGCUGAGGCGCGAAAGCGUGGGGAGCAAACAGG
rnacentral:rRNA from 1 species